GUCGAGGAGGUCGACGAGGGACAGGAGAGUCCCGUUGAGAUUUGUGGAUGAGGAGGAUGGACCGGAGGAGACUGGUGGAGUGUAGUCAUCUCAACCACAGUGCCUUUGUCUUGAACUCACACACACAUACACACACUUGGUCAUACUUGGUGGACUUCCUGCCACAGCAUCAGUGGAGACCGGCUGCAGCACCACAAGAUGACUUGUGAAGAAAAAGAGGGACACCCAUAGGUGCUGCUGAGGCUACCACAGAUCAGAUCCCACAGGGUGGGGAAGAAAGAAUGACUCCUCUGUGAAUGUAUCUAUCAAAACUGGAGACUGUACCUCCAGGCUCAGUUUGUGACAAGAACAGCCUCUUUUGUCAACUUAAGAAGGCACCAGAAGGCAGGAUGACUGCAAGACAGGCAGCAGGAGGGUGAGGCUGAAGAAGAC